GGUGCAUUUUGCUGCAGGUGCCACAGAGCAAAUGCUGCAGCCACUGCCAGGGACCCGGAUGCCAGGCCUGGCCCUGCACACAGAACUCGGCCAUCUGCUCAAUAGCACAGGGGGUCAUGCUCGGCCCCCGACAUGUGAUAGCUUCAUUGGCAAAGGCCUCCAGAGAAUCAACUGUGACACCUGCAGCCUGCUGACCACAACCCCCCAGCCACAGAGUGGUGACUCAGCACAGGUGGUCGGAUCAGUGCAGGGCAGGGCACCCCACCCGCUGAAUAAAGCGAGGCGCCAGUGUGAGCUGGAACGAGCCAGUAUGAGCCGGAACGAGCCAUGUCCUUGCCUGCACUGAAUGUUCCCACAGCAUAGAGCAACAUGGAGAGAAUAAAGGAUAAAGAGCAACAAAUCCCAGAUUUGGGCUACAGCUCCAAAUGCACCACGAGACAGUCACCUUGCAGGGGAUCUCUGGGCUCUGGGCUGGACUCUGUUCAGGUUCCGGAAGACAGGUCAGGCCUCGUGGGUGCUGACUAUGGUGGUCGCAGCUCUACAUGGAUAAGAAAAGGCCAGUGUGUCGGCCAGGGAAAGCCACUCUGUGGGUUGUACCCACAGACAGGCCCUUUGGCUCUGUUCUGAGAAGGGCAGCUGCGAUGCCCCCUUGACGGUGAAUCUGUGAACACUUUCUCGAGAAGACCAGGACACCCGCUGGGAACCUGGACGUCGUGAAAAAAACUUCCCAAGCCACUCUGCUUCGCGAGGAUGAGGACUCCCCAUGAGCCAGGACAGUCUCCAAGAGUGACCUGACCCAGUGAUGCCCACAGCCAAGUCCCCAGGAGCUUUGCAGAGGCUGUGAAUGCCAACUGCUGCGUGCAAGAGCAGCCCACGGGCCACUGUGGAGCAUGAAUGCGCAGCGUGAGGGGCUCUGUGCGCGUGUGCUCCCGGACAGGCGCAGCACUCUGGGCAGGGACUCCCUCCCAGCCGCCACCGCUGGCUUCCUACGCUUCCUCUGUCCACGGAGCCAAAGACAUUUCACUUCUGCCCAGGAACAAAUCUCAUCCCUCUCGCUGGCCAGUGGGAGAGGCCGGGGACCUAUGACUUCCACUGUCGCCCAUUCUGGGUCCUGUGCUCUUCGUGCAGCUGUUCAGGCUGAACCCC